AAACCAACUGGGAUUACCUUAGUAAACGGCGAGUGAAGCGGUAAAAGCUCAAAUUUGAAAUCUGGUACUUUCAGUGCCCGAGUUGUAAUUUGUAGAAUUUGUCUUUGAUUAGGUCCUUGUCUAUGUUCCUUGGAACAGGACGUCAUAGAGGGUGAGAAUCCCGUUUGGCGAGGAUACCUUUUUCUGUAAGACUUUUUCGAAGAGUCGAGUUGUUUGGGAAUGCAGCUCAAAGUGGGUGGUAAAUUCCAUCUAAAGCUAAAUAUUGGCGAGAGACCGAUAGCGAACAAGUACAGUGAUGGAAAGAUGAAAAGAACUUUGAAAAGAGAGUGAAAAAGUACGUGAAAUUGUUGAAAGGGAAGGGCAUUUGAUCAGACAUGGUGUUUUUGCAUGCACUCGCCUCUCGUGGGCUUGGGCCUCUCAAAAAUUUCACUGGGCCAACAUCAAUUCUGGCAGUAGGAUAAAUCAUUAAGAAUGUAGCUACCUCGGUAGUGUUAUAGCUUAUUGGAAUACUG
rnacentral:rRNA from 1 species